AAAACAUGAGAUAUCAUAUUUCUUCCUCAUUUUUUCUUCUCUACCAAAAUGUCGACAACCCCUCUUCCUCCCUCCAUAACCACUUUCUUCACAAAAUUCCAUCUUUAUUGAUGAAUUGAUGAAGCAAUUGCAUGAUUGGAUUAUUUUGGAGCUACACCCAAAUCAUAGCAAAGGAAAGGAAAAAGGAUCGGCGAAAGAAGAAAUGUCGAAUGGAAAGGUUUGGACAUAAACGUCAUCCAGGUUAGUCGGCAUUGAAGAGUACCAGUUGAUGUUUCUUCAUGUCUGUCUCAACGCUGCAUCCUUGGCGGGUCACUGAGCUCUAUUAGUAAUAGAUCUUUCGAAUGGUUAGCUGUAGCAUGUUAGUACUAAUAUUUUAUACUAAGUUACUUCUGCUGUAACCGUAAAUGUUAAAUAAAUUUAAAUAUUUGGAUUUGAA